GUUUGACUCCGUGGGAGAAGUACUACCAAAAAAUUGCAAUCUUUGGAAUAUUUAACAAAGAAAAUAUUUAGGUUGUCCCAAGAUUCCAUACGAUGGCAUACAUAAUGUGACCGCUAAUAGAAAAUGUUAUUCUGGUGAAAAGAGAUAAUAGAAAAUUGUAUUCUGGAGAGGAAAGAUGCUACUGUCACAGGAAAGUAAUUC